rnacentral:rRNA from 1 species
ACUCCUACGGGAGGCAGCAGUGGGGAAUAUUGCACAAUGGGGGAAACCCUGAUGCAGCCAUGCCGCGUGUGUGAAGAAGGCCUUCGGGUUGUAAAGCACUUUCAGUAGGGAGGAAGGUAGUGUAGUUAACACCUGCAUUAUUUGACGUUACCUACAGAAGAAGCACCGGCUAACUCCGUGCCAGCAGCCGCGGUAAGUACGGAGGGUGCGAGCGUUAAUCGGAAUUACUGGGCGUAAAGCGCAUGCAGGCGGCCUGUUAAGUCAGAUGUGAAAGCCCGGGGCUUAACCUCGGAAUUGCAUUUGAAACUGGCAGGCUAGAGUCUGUAGAGGGGGUUAGAAUUUCAGGUGUAGCGGUGAAAUGCGGUAG